rnacentral:lncRNA from 1 species
UAUGAUAUAAAUUUAUACUUAAACUAUUGAUUUAAUUAAUAAAAGAUAUAUUUUCUUUUUCCAUUCAAGUGUUAUGUAUCUUUGAAUCAUCCUUGAAAUUGAUGUUACGAUACAUAUUUUCAAAUAUUGAGAAUUAGAGAUAUGUAUGAUUGAUUCCUAAAUUACUCUCGAUUAUAUGAUAGUCAUGGAGAUAGUGAUCUAUCCAGA